UACAGAGGUCCCAAGCGUUGUUCGGAUUUACUGGGCGUAAAGGGUGCGUAGGUGGUGAGGUAAGUCUGAUGUGAAAUCUCCGAGCUUAACUCGGAAAUGGCAUUGGAAACUACCUUGCUAGAGGGUUGGAGGGGGGACUGGAAUACUUGGUGUAGCAGUGAAAUGCGUAGAUAUCAAGUGGAACACCAGUGGCGAAGGCGAGUCCCUGGACAACUCCUGACACUGAGGCACGAAGGCCAGGGGAGCAAACGGG
rnacentral:rRNA from 1 species